CUACGGGGUGCAGCAGUGGGGAAUAUUGGACAAUGGGCGCAAGCCUGAUCCAGCAAUGCCGCGUGAGUGAAGAAGGCCUUAGGGUUGUAAAGCUCUUUCACCCGUGAAGAUGAUGACGGUAACGGGAGAAGAAGCCCCGGCUAACUCCGUGCCAGCAGCCGCGGUAAUACGGAGGGGGCUAGCGUUGUUCGGAAUUACUGGGCGUAAAGCGCACGUAGGCGGUUCGUCAAGUUAGGCGUGAAAGGCCUGGGCUCAACCCGGGAACGGCGCUUAAGACUGGCGGACUGGAGUCCGGGAGAGGGUGGUGGAAUUCCCAGUGUAGAGGUGAAAUUCGUAGAUAUUGGGAAGAACACCGGUGGCGAAGGCGGCCACCUGGCCCGGUACUGACGCUGAGGUGCGAAAGCGUGGGGAGCGAACAGGAUUAGAUACCCCAGUAGUC
rnacentral:rRNA from 1 species